rnacentral:tRNA from 1 species
GGUAAAAUGGCUGAGUUAUAAGGUAAUAAACUGUAAAUUUAUUUAGGAAAUUUUAAUUUCUUUUACCA